UCAGUCCUUUUUCCAUAGUUUGGAGUAAAAGAAGCCAUGAUUAGAAAUGUAUCCCUCAUGAUAGGCUCUAGAGCAGAUUCCACUGUGAAGGCUAUUGUUACACAACAGACUCUAAGUUCUCUCGUGAAGGUUAUGAUACAAUUGUCUGAACAGAGAAGUAUCUGUGCAGCUGUGGCAUUUGUGGCCUAUGGAGAAAUACAUCAAAUGAAGAUUAUAGAGAUUCAGUGGUAGAAGAUUAAGAAGAGAUUGCUUAGUCGAUCAUCUCCAGAGUGUCAAAUGGUCUCUCGUCAACUGCAAUGAAAAGAGCUGAAAGAAAUGUGUGACACUGUAACCUAUGAAUGACAUGCUGAGACUGGAAACCCAAGAUCAUGAUCAUUAAGCUUCAGAGGAUCAUGCAACAAGGGCUCUUGCCAGUUCCAGGUGAAGACACCACUGGCCAUCAAGAAGCUACCCUGUCUCCACUAGACAGAGCAGGGGAGAGUUCCCUGAUCCCAAGAAGCAGUUACAGAAGGAAGACCAUUGGUCUCUCUGUCUCCCAUAAAAAUGUAUGGGGAUCAAGUCUCUCAGGGGGGAAAUGAGGCAGGAAAUAGGGUCUGGAAGCAGGGAACUUAAGGACUUCUUAGAACUAAAUUAAAUGGAAAAAACCCAACCUUCUAAGCCCACAUAAGUAAUUUUAUAACUCUACUUCAGCUAUGGCAGGAAACGUCCUCUUCAUUUGCCUGGGGUGUAUACCAAGUAAAUAACUUUGCAAACUCACUUCAUCCUCUUCAUUUACAUAGGGCAUACACGAAGUAAUCAAUGAGAAAUCUCUAAAGGGUAAUUAAACACCAGAAAAUUCUGUAACUGGGGCCCUUGAGUCGCUUGCUUGGGCUUGCUCCUACCACAUGGAAGGUGCUUUCAUUUUCAAUGAAUCUCUGCUUUUGUUGCUUCAUUCUUUCCUUGCUUUGUGUGUUUUGUCCAAUUCUUUGUUCAAAACACCAAAAACCUGGACACCCUCCAUCGGUAACAAGACCACAGCUGCAUGCCAACACACCCACCUACGUUUUUGUAUUUUUUGUAGAUACAGGGUUUCAUUCUGUUGCCCUGGCUGGCCUCAACAGUGCCUGGACUGCUUCAACUUUUAUGUAACAAAGUUGUGAGUUUUUCAGUUUUUUGGAUUCCCAGGUUGAAGGUCACUUAACCUGUGCAUGCCCAGAUGAACCACGUUUGCAAACAAGUGGGCGUCUAAGUGCUCGCAGUGAGGAGCAGGAGUGGAAUUAAGAACAGACACUGCAUGCCAAGGUCCAGAAUCCAAUCAAAUUGAGCUCUGGCAAUACCCAAUGGCAGGAUCCAGAUCAGGCCUCCUGGCAUCACCACAUCGCAAGAUUCAAUCAGAUGGUUAGGAUUGAAGAGUUCCUCUUCAAAGGUUUCACAUACUUGCCCUUUGUUUUAUUCUGUUAGUAAUCUUUCUUAUCUGAUGGACCACGCUUGUAACUGACCCACACCACCCUGCUUUAAGUCCUUAGGUAUAAACAGUUAACUUCCUAGUUCUUUGUCCUAUAGGGAUAUCUGUACCCAACAUCCCUCCCUUAUUUAGAAAAAUUGCUAAAUCUAGUUAAUUGGAAUAACUUUAGAUUGCGUGGCCUGACCCCAGCCAACAGAGGGAGGACAUAGAAACAGGGACUGUGUUAGGAAUAAAAACCCCUGCUUUCCUUUGUUCAGUGUGCUCUUGCCACUGUCCUGGAUGGACGAAGUCCCACUCUGCAGAAGUCAACUUGCCUUGCUAAGGAAUCCUUUGUUUGACUGCUGGUUUUGUGACCCUGAGCUCUUAUUUCCAACAAGGUCACACCUUGCUUACCCUAUGCUUACAAAAUUUCCAACCACCAGUUCAAGGAGACAGAUUUGAGACUUUCCUCUUAUUUCCUUGCCAGUCAACUGGCAAGAAGACUUUUCUUUUCUCUAAAAAGUUGGUACAUGGUAUCACAUUCUAUGUACAUUGGCCAAUGAGCCCAUAGAUUGCUGAGAAACAGUGGCAUCCAGCUUUUAAGUAAAAUGACCUUCCUUACCCUAGGAUAAUAAAGGUAUUUGUCCAUGUUGGUUUUUAGUACUUUUAUGUACUUAUUUUUUAUAUUUAAUGUGCAUGUUUAUACUUGCAAAAGAUAAUGGACAUAUGAACAAUUUUUUUCCGAAAUUAUCUUAUGACUUAAGGUCCAUGAAGAUCAUGGAGUGAUUCUAGGGCCAGAUAAUUAGUGUUUCUCCUUGGGAAACAAAUUUUGGUGGUAUAAACAUACAGUAUGCUUUUGUAUUGAUUCAACUUUAGGCUCAAAGAAAGGCAAAAUAAUAUUUUAUGAUGUAAAUAAAUGUGUAUACUACCUAAAAGAAGGCUCUCUGAACUGUCAACUAACUGGAAUAUCUCGUUUUCCAAUCGUGGUGGAAACUAAAGAAUAUUUUAAAAGUAAAUUAAUACUGAGAUACAAUUAUACACCAUCAAUACAGCUAAAAGAAUUAGUAACGACACCAAAUACUGGUGUGAGCCCUGGAGGUUUACUGAAAACUCACAGAAAUGAGGCAGAUUGAUUAAUAGGUGAAAAGGCAUCCGCAUUUAUUUAACGUGUAUAAACGAGCCUUUAGAAUGAAGACACAACCCCCAAUGAAGUACAGAAGCUUCCAUAUCAUCUUCAGGUUACAGGAAGAAUGCAGGCUCAGAGAAUGGCCCAAAACAGGUGUUAGUGGCAAGACAGAUUACAGGAGGGAGAAAUGAAGAGAUUUGGCAAGUAAAGGUGGUCUUUUUAUGUAGAUGAAAACAGGUAGCAUCCCUCAGAACAAAUGGUAAAUGUUUCUUUUCGUCCUUUUAAAGGUGUCAGACUCAGGUAAUCACUCCUAGAGUUGGGAAAGGCCUAGAAGGAAAAGACAUGGCUGGCUGCAUUGAUGAAAACUGUCUACUGAAGCAAAUUUCCUCCAUAAAACAGCAAUGCAGGACCACUUCAGUCUGCUGGCACUGUGGCAGCCAUUUCAAAAUAUGUCAAAGUCUAUUUUGGGGUAAAAUAUUUUGAUUUGUUGCACUGGCAAGGGAGAUGAGAAAAUGGAUCUCUCAUACAUUCCUGGAAAACAGUUUAGCCAUUUCUUAGAAAAAGUUUAGCUGUUUCUUAUGCAAUUACUAUAUGACUCAGCAGUUCCAUUCUAUUUAUUCAAGAGAAGUAAGAACAGAAGUUCAAAGACCUGCACACCGAUGUCCAUAGCAGCUUUAGCCACAAUAAUAAAAAACUGGAAACAAUUCAGAUGUCCUUCCAUGGGUGAAUGGUUAAACACCUGUGGUACAUCCCUAUCCAAAUGGGUGUGGGGAUCCAUUUGGAAUCCCAGAGUUGGUAUAAUGCUUCUUUUAAGCUGAAGACAUCUGAGAUUCAACAAAUGGAGGAAAAGCCUUCUUUUCUAGGAGCUUCCUUUAUCUGACUAAAAGCAGCAACCUCUGGGAAAUGAGGCUAUCAGAAAUUUCCUCUCCUGGGGAGUUUUUUGGCCCUGAAUAUGAAUAUGCAAAUAUUAUCACACAAUUUCUUACCACCUGUCUGUUUUCCUAAAAAUCCUUUUGGUUUUUCCAAGGAGACCUAUUUGUUUUUCCCAUAAAAGCCCUUUCUCCCCCAUCCUUUAUAUACCUGUUAGGUAUAUAAACCCUUUAACCAUUUCAUGAGCCAGAUACUUGCUCAUUAUGCAAAGGAAAUAAAU